GGUUGGGGAAGGCUAUGCGAGGAUGUGCAUGAUGUCGAUAAAGUGAACAGGGAGCAGUUUUUUUCUGCCUCAUAACAAUGGAACUCAGGAAACACCCAACACAACCGAAAGAUUCAGGGCAGACAAAAAUAAGGACUUUACAAACAGCGCAUAGUUAAACUGUAGGAUUUGCUCCCAAAAGAGGCAGUGAUGACCACCAACUUGGAUGACUCUAAAAGAGUAGACAGAUUCAUGGAGGAUAAGGCUACUAACCCUGAUGGCUAUGUUCUGCCUACACAGUUGGAUGCAGUAUGCUUCUGAAUGCUGGUUGCUGGAAACUGCAGGGGGUGUGUGUGCUAUUAUGCUCAGGUCCUGCUUGUAGGCAUCCCGUGCACAACUGCUUGGCCACUGUGAGAACAGAAUGCUGGACUAGAUGGGUCCCCCAACUGGGAGUGGGGGCUAGAUCUAACAGCUGGUCUUCAAGGAGGGAUUUGAAAAGGCUAAGAGGGCCUCCUGAGAAUUCUAAGAGGGCAUUCUGGGAAUGUGUUCUGGGCAUGAGGUCCAGGAAGGGAGGAAGAAUGGAAGAGCAGAAGAAAUUUUGAUGGUUGAGGAGGUGGAGUUUGAGUCAGAAAAGUGAAGGUCAUGGGCAUGUUUGCACAGCUACAAGCUCUCAUCUAGUUUUCCUGCUGCGGUGUGCAACCAGGAAUCCUAGGCAAGGCCAUUGUGGUGCCUUACUGUUGGACCCAUGUAUCCAGUCUGGUUUUGGUAACCUCCACCUCGCUCUGGAUGCUCACAGUUUUUCCUUCUGGGGGUGCUCUGAAACCUUUCAUAUUUUGGCAAAAGGAAAAAGUGCUUCAGGAGGGGAACGAGGCAGCUCCCUCUGUUCUUUUGGGAAGCACAACUUUUCUCAAUGCGGUGCCCUUCAGAUGUUUUGGACUAGAACUCCCAUAAACUCCAGUCAGGACUAACGGGGGUUGAUGGGAGUCGUAGUCCAAAACAUCUAAAGGGCACCACGUUGGCGAAAGCUGCUGUAGUCCCCUGCCGCCGCUGGGAUCUGGGAAUCCACCCUGAGCUGACGCAGAAUUCCCUUUCAGUCUCCUGUCCUGCCUCUCAACCUGCUGUCAUGUGAAAAAGAGACACACAGAGAGAAAGACAAUGUCCACAGCCAAACCUGCCUCUUUUUCCAGCCUUGUGCACAAAUUGGACAGGGUGUGUGUGUGUCUGCCACAAGAAUAGUUGUAAGCAGGAGUUCCAUUAAUUAUGAAUGGGCAACAAGAGAUUCCCUGUUGUUUGUAAAUUAGCUGCUGCUUUCCUUCUCCCCCUCCUUUCUUCCUUUUUCUAAAUUUAUGUUUCUUAGAAAUGAGUUUGCUCAGAGGGUGGGGAGCGUAGGAAUGGAGGAAGCUGCCUGCUGAAAAUGCAGAGCUGACUGAAAUACCCCUCAGGACCAAUUGAAAGUUUUUUUCUUUUAUUUUUUAAGAACAUGGUACCGUAACUUUAGGAUGCAUGUAAGGGGAAUGGAGGUUUGACUGCUCCCUCUCUCCCUCCCCUGGCCAGAAUCUCCUUGUCUAUGGAAAACUAGGGUUUUAUCCGACACUCAGAGCAGACCCAUUGGCAUUCAUUAUUCAUUUUAAGGGGGCUGUUCUGAGUAGGACUAACAUUGGAUAUAUCUCUAUUGGAAGACACUGCUUGAGCAUCAGAUGAUUAGUUUGUCUAAUAUUGUCUACUGGCUGUAGCUCUCCAGGGUUUUCCGACAAGAUCUUUCCCAGCCUUCUUGGAGAUGUCUAGGAUUGAACCUGUGAUUUUCUGAAUGCAGAGUAGUUGCUCUGCCACCAAGAAAGCUGACUAAUAAGUUAAGAGACCAUUGGCCCAUCUAGCUGACCGGCUGUGGUUCUCCAGGAUUUUGGGCAGAAAUCUUUUCCCACCCCUACCUGGAGAUGCGACUGGGAACUGAACCGAGGACCUUCUACAAAGCUCUAUUACGGUGCGUCUGUAUACAUUACAAGAAACAUCACAGUUUGCAUUGUGUCAUCUUGGGAAAGGGUUUUGCUUCUGAGAAACAUCUGACUGGCCACCAUUGGGAACCAGGUACAGUACCAGGCAAGUCCCUGGUCUGAUCCAGUGAGAAUGUCCUCAUGUUCGCCUCUGACCAGUCUGGCACUUUUUGUUCCUGACCGUCCACAAAUUUGCUUUAAGCGCCGCCAUCAGUGCUCCUCCUUUAAGCAAAACAUAUUGAGGUUGUUUAAGUGGGGAUGUGCUAAUUUGAAUCCCUGGCUGCUCGAAGUGGUUGUUUUUCAAGCCCUUCUUAAUGGGAGAAGAAAGCCGUCAAAAAUAAUGGGAGUCAUUCCAGGCCUUCUGCGAGUGGCACUGGAGAGAGUACAUGGGAGAAGGGAGGGCUGCUGCUGGUGCCAGUGGUGCUGGUGGUGGAAUAAUUCACUUUCUAGAUCUGAGGUCAUCCUGCGAAACUGAUAUACAGUGGCCUGAAGCGAAGCAGAAGGGAGCAUAAACAGCAGAGUCCUGUGGCACCUUAAAGACUAACACAUUGAUUGUGGCAUUGAGCUUUGGUAGCUUAGACACUGUUUCAUCAGAUGGAUGAACUGUCAAAGGGGAGUUGGUAGGUUUACAUUAAAAAAGUAUCUAUUCUCUCCAGAUCAGAGGUGAAUUGUGCUGGGGUUAUGGGGCGGGGUGUCAAAAAUCCAUGACUAUUUCUGCAAUAGGAUCCCAGCAGGGUUCCUGUUCCCAAGAGUCCUAGCGCCGUCCAAUAUGAAAGGGCUUCUUUUUUUUCUUUUUCUUUUUAAAGCCACAUAAGUCUUCUCACUCUUUGUGAUGAUUGUAGCCGCUGAGGAUUGGCUCCUAGGGUCACUUUGGAUAAAGCAUGCAGAGAAAAACACCAAAAAGGUGUUGUUCCAUGCCCUCCAAAGCUAAGAAUUUAGGAACACUGAAAACACAAGGUACUUCAGUUUCAAGAGAAUGGAGUGCAAGUUCUGUUAGGUACAGUGGAACUUAAAGGAAGACACAACUUAAGUAUGAUAAAAUGCACUGAGUAGCGUAUGAUAAAGUGCACUGAAAUAUGUUUAUAUUGAGAUAAAGUAUGUUCUUAAAUAAAUAAUAAAAUGCUAUUUAAAUACAAAUUGCUAUUUAAAUACAAUUUUUCAUGUAGUUUGGUGGGGGUUUUUUGGACAGAUUACUGUAGAAACAGGUUGGAAGGGACUUAUGAAGGAACAUGUGUGAAAUUGGCAUGGGCCCCAAAAUAUAUCGAUCCAGAAAUAGAGGCCUCCAUCAGCAGUGUCACACCAUUUUAAAUAGUCAAGGUUUCCCCCAAAGAAUAAUGGAAACUGUAGUUUGUUAAGGGUACUGAGAUUUCUUAAGAGACCCCCCAAUUCCCAGAGUCCCCUGAAUAGAGGGAUUGACUCUUAAACCACUCCUGGGGCAGAUUAAUAAGAGUCCAGCCGCCCUAGCCAUUUUUCCUCUCUCUCCUCAUUCGAUGCCCUUUUAGCUCUGUCAUCUUUACAAAAAUAUUCCAGCAUAGGGUUUUUGUUUAUUUAUUUUUGGGGGAAGGUAGCAAAUUUUGGAACUAGAAUGGAGCACAUCAAUGACAUGCCUUAAUUUGUAAGCACAUGAUUCCCCCUCCCCACCACAUUGGCCAUAGCUUCAUGGACAAGGUACCAGGCCACAAAGAGUCAGCCCGACUUGUGUUUUGAAAUCUGAAAGCUGCCAGGAUUUUCAGCCUGGUGAUUAAACUCUCUCUCUCACUCCCCCGGAGAGUGAGGAAGGUAAUAAAUCCACAUUGUGCCAUUGCAGCGAACAGCUUGGGAUAAUUGCAUUGGUGAAAUAAAGCGAGGCGUUGCAUAUUUGGAUGUCCUAACUCCUCUCCCCACCACCACCACCUCCUGAUAUACCCUCCGGGACUUGGAACUCCAUAUUGUUGCUUCCAGACAAACAAGAACCUCAUUGAGAAUUUCUUUCUGCUUUUCUUACACCUAUACAGGAAGAGGGUUGGGAUUGCGUGUGUGUAUCCCGCCGGCCAUUCUCAGUCAUUGGCAUUCAGAAUCAUUUGUCUGCGUUGCUAGAAAGGAUGUGGAAGAUCAUCUAAUCAAGGGCCAACCAGAGGCUGAGCAUUAAGAUUUUUUUGACUCUGGAAGUUAUAUAUUAAAAUAGCACUCCCCCCAUCCCAAAUCAGGUUGUCCUUCUUGUCUGUUGUGUCCCUCUAACCUAGAGCUGAGGCUGAUGGGUUUUAAAUACUCUGCCUUCCCAUUGUGCUUUUCCUUCCUGCCUUUAUUGCUUUUGCCUCCUAGGGCUCCUCCAGACAGUUCUGUUUUUGCAGGUAUCCUGCAUCAUGUCAAUGAUGGUGCAAAAGUGGUGGAUUCAUACUGGACUAUCCACACACCAUUCCGCAUUACCAGUUGUUCUGCAGUGCUUCCCCCCAAGUUUUCCCGUUAUUGUUGUCUGGAAGGGCGCUCUUGCUUUAUAGUGCAACAAAAGUGGGGCAAAACAAACAAACUCCUAAACCUGGAACAUUUGCAUUGUAAAAAGUCGCAGGAUUUUAGCAGGAAGUUACAGGGCAUGUGCUGAUUGGAAACAAAGCAUUAUGCCCACUCGGAAACUUUUUGAAGUAUUUAAAGCAGGAUUGCAUAUAAUUGUCCUGAUACCAUUAUGAACACUGGUCAUGAUGAGUGCAUAAGAAAAAUGAAAUCCUGCUCGACUUCAUUGAGAAUGCUGUGCCUGCCAACCCAGUUAUAAAUUUAC